CCGGUCGCGCAUCUGAGCGUUGCCCUGCUCGGUCACCCGUCUGCCUGUUUUUCUGUUGUUGGAUUUAGCCUGGUUUUGUUUGCCCCGGCGAAUUCUUGCGUUCGUUCAGAACUUCGAAAUGGCACCACAACACUAUUAGACUACGGCAAGGCCGACAGCCAGUCCUCGUCGUCCUGGUCUUCCGUACCCGAAAAUACCGGGGGGUCUCGCUGGCAACCGGGCCGGGGCAAACGGCGGCCGGGAGAGAUGGCGGUGGUUGGGCAGCGUCAGCUUGCAUGGUCGAGUGCAACGUACGGGAUCGGAGUUCCAGGGUGCCGGCGAUGUGCGUACCCAGCACCUCCAACAAAUGCCUUCAAAAUGGGAACAUAGGCAUUGCAGACAGUAGGACAUGUUCAGGCAAAGCCGAAGGCAUCUGCAAGCAGCCAGUCAUUCCAAUUCACAACCAAUCCUUCCGCUAGUUAAUCCAUAUCUAUAGUGUUUAGUCGUGGAAGUUCUUUGUUCAGUAAAACACAAUAAACAUAGGUUUGUUC